rnacentral:rRNA from 1 species
AGAGUUUGAUCAUGGCUCAGGACGAACGCUGGCGGCGUGCCUAAUACAUGCAAGUUGAGCGCUGAAGGUUGGUACUUGUACCAACUGGAUGAGCAGCGAACGGGUGAGUAACGCGUGGGGAAUCUGCCUUUGAGCGGGGGACAACAUUUGGAAACGAAUGCUAAUACCGCAUAAAAACUUUAAACACAAGUUUUAAGUUUGAAAGAUGCAAUUGCAUCACUCAAAGAUGAUCCCGCGUUGUAUUAGCUAGUUGGUGAGGUAAAGGCUCACCAAGGCGAUGAUACAUAGCCGACCUGAGAGGGUGAUCGGCCACAUUGGGACUGAGACACGGCCCAAACUCCUACGGGAGGCAGCAGUAGGGAAUCUUCGGCAAUGGACGAAAGUCUGACCGAGCAACGCCGCGUGAGUGAAGAAGGUUUUCGGAUCGUAAAACUCUGUUGGUAGAGAAGAACGUUGGUGAGAGUGGAAAGCUCAUCAAGUGACGGUAACUACCCAGAAAGGGACGGCUAACUACGUGCCAGCAGCCGCGGUAAUACGUAGGUCCCGAGCGUUGUCCGGAUUUAUUGGGCGUAAAGCGAGCGCAGGUGGUUUAUUAAGUCUGGUGUAAAAGGCAGUGGCUCAACCAUUGUAUGCAUUGGAAACUGGUAGACUUGAGUGCAGGAGAGGAGAGUGGAAUUCCAUGUGUAGCGGUGAAAUGCGUAGAUAUAUGGAGGAACACCGGUGGCGAAAGCGGCUCUCUGGCCUGUAACUGACACUGAGGCUCGAAAGCGUGGGGAGCAAACAGGAUUAGAUACCCUGGUAGUCCACGCCGUAAACGAUGAGUGCUAGAUGUAGGGAGCUAUAAGUUCUCUGUAUCGCAGCU